GAGGUGCCUAGGUCCCGGAGGUCCGGGAGUGUCCGGGUAGCUGCGGUGACCGUGCAGUGACAGAUGGGGAGGGCCGGGAGGCGGAGACUAGUCCGGCCUUAGGGCGCUGUCACCUGCCCAGGGGCGGAGCCAGAAAAGAAACCAGCCUUUGCCGAUCGUACUCACACAGGAGUCUAGAGAACCUUUCUUGACCAUGCAGGGCUCCAAAGGAAUAGAGAACCCGGCUUUCGUCCCUUCCAGCCCAGGCACCCCACGCCGUGCGUCUGCUUCGCCCUCCCAGGUGGAGGUCUCUGCUGUGGCCUCCAGGAAUCAGAAUGGGGGUUCGCAGCCUCGGGAAUCUGAGGAGCCUCAGAAGUCAACUGAGCCAUCCCCGCCUUCUUCGAAUCCCCCAGCUUCUGAUGAGCCGCCGGGGUCACAGCUAAGCGAGCUUGAGGAGGGACCUUGCGGGUGGAGGGGCUUUCACCCCCAGUGUCUCCAGCGCUGCAACACCCCCCAAGGCUUUUUGCUUCACUACUGUCUCUUAGCCCUAACGCAAGGUAUUGUAGUAAACGGCCUGGUAAACAUUAGCAUCUCCACCAUUGAGAAGCGUUAUGAAAUGAAAAGCUCACUGACAGGCCUGAUAUCAUCGAGCUACGACAUCUCCUUUUGUGUGUUAUCUCUAUUUGUGUCUUUCUUUGGGGAGAGAGGACACAAACCUCGCUGGCUCGCCUUUGCAUCCUUUAUGAUAGGCCUGGGAGCGCUGGUGUUUUCCUUACCACACUUCUUCAGUGGAAGAUAUGAACUGGGAUCCAUUUUUGAAGAUACGUGCUUAACAAGGAACAGUACCAGAUGUUCAUCUUCAACCUCCCUGCUUUCUAACUACUUCUAUGUCUUUGUCCUGGGACAAUUGUUGCUGGGGACCGGAGGGACUCCGCUCUACACCCUGGGGACAGCCUUUAUUGAUGACUCUGUGCCCACACACAAAUCUUCUCUCUAUAUAGGUAUUGGCUAUUCUAUGUCAAUCCUAGGCCCUGCCAUUGGAUAUGUGUUGGGUGGACAGCUGUUGACAAUGUACAUUGAUAUUGCUAUGGGACAAAGUUCGGAUCUGACUGAGGAUGAUCCCCGGUGGCUGGGGGCUUGGUGGAUUGGAUUCCUUUUAGCUUGGCUCUUUGCUUGGUCUUUGAUAAUGCCUUUCUCCUGUUUUCCCAAGCAUUUACCAGGGACAGCAAAAAUUCAAGCUGGCAAAACUUCCCAGACUCAUCAAAAUAAUAGUACUUCCUUCCAACAUACGGAUGAAAAUUUUGGAAAAAGUAUUAAAGAUUUUCCAACUGCUGUAAAGAAUUUGAUGAGGAAUACAGUCUUUAUAUGUUUAGUUCUAUCAACUACUUCUGAAGCAUUAAUUACUACGGGAUUUGCCACAUUUUUACCUAAAUUUAUAGAAAAUCAAUUUGGAUUGACAUCGAGCUUUGCAGCCACUCUUGGAGAACUGGAGAAAUGGGGAAUUUGACUGCACCUUGUAAUGCCAACUGCAACUGUUUGCGGUCCUACUAUUACCCACUCUGUGGAAGUGAUGGAAUCCAGUAUUUUUCUCCCUGCUUUGCAGGUUGUUUAAACUCAGUUUCAAACAGGAAACCCAAGGUAUAUUAUAAUUGUUCCUGUAUAGAAAGGAAAAUCACUUCUACUGCAGAAAGUACUGAUUUUGAAGCUAAAGCUGGAAAAUGUAGAACUCGGUGUUCAAACUUGCCCAUAUUUCUUGGCAUUUUCUUCAUUACAGUUAUCUUUACCUUUAUGGCAGGCACUCCUAUAACUGUGUCUAUAUUAAGGUGUGUUAAUCACAGACAUCGGUCUCUAGCAUUGGGAGUGCAGUUCAUGCUUCUUCGAUUGCUAGGUACAAUACCUGGGCCAAUUAUAUUUGGUGUCAUAAUAGACAGCACAUGUGUUCUGUGGGAUGUCAAUGAAUGUGGAAUAAAAGGAGCAUGUUGGAUUUAUGAUAACAUCAAGAUGGCACAUAUGCUGGUAGCUAUAAGUGUUACUUGUAAAGUUAUCACCAUAUUCUUCAAUGGACUUGCGAUUGUUCUCUAUAAACCACCGCCCCCAGGAACAGAGGUAUCAUUUCAAAGUCAGAAUGUCAUUGUGUCUACUAUUUCGGUCGAAGAGGAUCUAGACAAAGCAGAAAAUGAAGGGUGAAAAGGAGGAGGAGAUUGCUUUGGGAACUGGCUCCUGCCUGUGAGAACAUCCUGUGCCAAGGCACCAUUGUCUAGUUGUGUAGACCACGGUGUGAAACCCAUGCUCCAGAACGGAGGUGAUCAUUGCCUAGGUACAGAUUCCUCAUUUUCUUAAAACAAACAACAACAAAAUAAACAAAAACAAAAAACCCCACAAACUCAAAACAUAAAGGUUCAUGCCUCUAAAGUUCACCAAAAGCCUCAAACCACUCACAUUUUAUUUAUUUCCGUUGUCAACCUAUGAAAACACCAAGGAGUAAGAAGAAUAGUUGCCAACAACACAUACUUUAAACUUUAUGCUUCUAAAUACAGGUAUGCGUACACACACAAAGUAAAACAUCGUUUUUAUUUCUUUUGUUUUCUUUAAGACAGGGCCUCACAUACCCCAAUAGCUCAGGAACUCAGGUAGCUAAAGAUGAUCUGUGACAUCUGAUUCUCCUGGAGUUACAGCUCAUGUACUGAGGUUACAAGUCUGUGUUACCACCAUUGGCUCACACGGUCAUAUUUUAAUUCUUUCAUUGUUGGUUGAUUGAGCUUAUUUGAGAUGUUUACAGCACAAAAAUUUAAGCUAAGGAAAUUUAUGUGAUGCUUUUGGGGACGAGUUGUUUAAAACUCACUUUACAGUGUAGGUUUUAUAUCUCCUUCUGAUCAUAUAUUUUCACAGUAAAUUACUUAACUGAUAGAAUGAAGGGUAGUUAUCUUUUUUUGUGUCCCACUACCCUACAGCCUCAGAAAUCUCAGCAUUAACUACACAUUUUCAAUUUAGAGUAAGAAUUCUAGGAGGCAAUUUGUUAAUGUUAUUGACUUUUAACACUAAAACUUAAGACUGUGAUAGUAUUGUUCAAUUGCCUAUUUUCAGAGAAAAGAACCAGCUUCAAUGACAAAAAGUGCCAAGUAGACAUGACAAGAUGUCAUAAUGCACUGUUGACAAAUGUUUAUCAAGUACUUUAAAUUUUUAUUUUACAAACUAAUCACCUAGCCCAUUAAUUAUAAUAACAUAAGCAGAGUUUCAUUUAAUAGACAUCAUGUAGUGUUAUUUAGUGAAAGUUUAAAUUCAAUGAUGUGAUUACUUGAAGCUUCAGUAUUUUGUACACCUUACAUCACAGUAACUAAACUCCAUUUGUGUAGGCUCCUGACAAAUUUACUUAAAAUACUGAAAGUGUUGGUCAUUGAGCAUCAACAAAAAAAAUUGACUAUUGUGAAAACUAUUUCUAAUUAAUAGAAGUAUUACAUGGCUAAGGAUGUAACUGAGUGCAAAUUCUAAAUUUCAGUCCUGAAAAGAUCUAUUCAAAACUAAGGAGGUGAUUAUAUUCGUGUUGUUUUUACAAAUUAAAUCUUCUACAUUAAUUAGUUUCCCUAGCCAACCACCCCACACCCCGUACCAUCCAUGUUAGCUCUUUAUGAGUUUCAUGAAUCAGGUUCUCCAUCAGGGCAGCACAAGUCCAGAAAAAAGACCUGGAAAACUCCAGAAUUCACAGAAGACUCUAGAAUUCACAGAAUUUACAUUGCUGUGUCUGGUGGCAAUCUAGGUGUGGCUCAUGAUUUCAGCACCUGGGAGCUCUUAUAAGCUGAAAUUCAAGAAGGAGGAGGGAUGAGCUAGGAGUUAGAUUCACAAGCUCCUUCAAUAUUCAAAGAUUAGAGGGGUCAGUCUCAGGAAACUGAGGGCUAGACCUACUUGUCUCAGGAACUUACUUACCAAAAAUCAUUUUGAAAAAA